UACAUAUUCUUCCCCAAACCAGAUCGAUCACUCUCUCAGCCCCCCUCCAAGACCCUUCCUCCUCCGCGAGCAAACUCCGGCCAGAUGGGUCAAAAGUUGAGGAUGUGAAGAAGCUUGUCAAUCCAUUUUUCUUCCUCUUGCGUUUCAUUUUGGGUGCCAACGCCGCAACCUACUAUGUCCUGGUGCACAUUUACACGUGGAUUAAGGAUCAGAUAUUCCCCAAGGGUAUGCCAAUACGAAGAGAGCACAGACAAAGCAAAGAGAGAUGACAUUUAUGUAUUCAUUCAAAACUAGUCGCUGCUUCUUUGUCCAGAUUUUUGUAUGAAAUACUAUUAUGUUUCAACUGAUGGAUAAAUUGUUAAAUGUUACCAAGUGAAUGCAUCCACUCAGCUCAAGUUACAUCUAUCCGCGGGAUUUCAGGAUUUGCAAUCUUUACCUGAUUGUCAUUGGCUCAUAGGUUAUAAAUCUUCAAGAGGAUGUAUUCAACGUUUGGGCAUUACUAAAUUCAGCGUGAUGGAAGAUUAUUGUUGUUCUAAA